UGGUGGGGUUCCCGAGCGGCCAAAGGGAGCAGACUGUAAAUCUGCCGUCAUCGACUUCGAAGGUUCGAAUCCUUCCCCCACNNN
rnacentral:tRNA from 1 species